GAUUUCUGGCCUGAAACAUUUUGUCGGCCACGGUUUCGUGUGUUAGUGCAUUGUGUUCUGGCCAUCCUUCCUAUCGCUGCUUGCUUUUCUUCAUUGAUUGGCAAGUGGUAUAGGAUCUUUUACUUUGAAAAAAUUAGAGUGUUUCAAGCAGGCUUUAUGCUAUGAAUACAUUAGCAUGGAAUAAUAAUUUAGGACUUCGGUUUUAUUUUGUUGGUUUCUAAGACUGAAGUAAUGAUUGAUAGGGAUAGUUGGGGGUGCUAGUAUUCAGCGGCCAGAGGUGAAAUUCUCGGAUUCGCUGAAGACUAACUUAUGCGAAAGCAUU
rnacentral:rRNA from 1 species